rnacentral:rRNA from 1 species
AGAGUUUGAUCAUGGCUCAGGACGAACGCUGGCGGCGUGCUUAACACAUGCAAGUCGAACGAUGAAGCCCUUCGGGGUGGAUUAGUGGCGAACGGGUGAGGAACACGUGAAGAAUCUGCCCUCCACUUUGGGAUAACUCCGGGAAACCGGGGCUAAUACCGAAUAUUGAAACAUAAGUGGCAUCACUGAGUUUUGAAAGAAUUUCGGUGGGGGAUGACUUCGCGGCCUAUCAGCUUGUUGGUGAGGUAAUGGCUCACCAAGGCGACGACGGGUAGCCGGCCUGAGAGGGCGACCGGCCACACUGGGACUGAGACACGGCCCAGACUCCUACGGGAGGCAGCAGUGGGGAAUAUUGGGCAAUGGACGCAAGUCUGACCCAGCGACGCCGCGUGCGGGAUGAAGGCCUUCGGGUUGUAAACCGCUUUCAGCAGGGAAGAAGCGAAAGUGACGGUACCUGCAAAAGAAGCACCGGCUAACUAUGUGCCAGCAGCCGCGGUAAUACAUAGGGUGCAAGCGUUGUCCGGAAUUAUUGGGCGUAAAGAGCUCGUAGGUGGUUAGUUACGUCGGGUGUGAAAAUCUGGGGCUCAACCCCAGACCUGCACUCGAUACGGGCUAGCUAGAGUUUGGUAGGGGAGACUGGAAUUCCUGGUGUAGCGGUGGAAUGCGCAGAUAUCAGAGGAACACCAAUGGCGAAAGGCAGGUCUCUGGGCCAAUACUGACACUGAGGAGCGAAAGCGCGGGGAGCGAACAGGAUUAGAUACCCUGGUAGUCCACGCCCUAAACG